GGUUGAUGAGGAUUUAUCUUUUAAGGCUUGUUUCUCAAAACAUUCGCAGUGGCCGCCUAAAGCUUUCGCCUUUCGCCAGGCUUGAGAGCUUCUGAUGUUCUUAUCCUUCCUUGGAUGUCUGAAACC
rfam:Brassica rapa chromosome A1, whole genome shotgun sequence.